rnacentral:tRNA from 1 species
AUUUAUAUAGUUUAUAAAAACAUUAUAUUUUCAAUAUAAAAAAAAUGAAUUCAUUUGUAAAUA